GGGUGACACUUCGUGGGGGUGGCACAUUGUGGGGGGACAGCCCUGGGUACAGGGUGACACUUGGUGGGGGUGGCACAUUGCGGGGGGUCACACCCCUGGGCACAAGAUGACACUUGGGGUGGCACAUUGGGGGGGUGACACUCCUGUGCAUGGGGUGACAGCUGAUGGGAGUGGUACAUUGUGGGGUGACACCUCUGGGCACAAGGUGACACUUGCAUGGAGGUGGCACUCGGCAGGGAAAAUGCAAUCAGAUUCCAGGGAACAGGACAUCGCUUGCCACCUACAAGACGCUUUGGUGUUGGAGCCAACUCUGCAGUCUGCUUUUAUUACCCUCUCCUGGGACUGUUCCUAGGCAUUUGGCUUCUGCUCACCUUUUUCAUUAUAACAUCAAGAUCUUUGGAAGAUGUGAGAGGUCAGCUGCUGGUAAAAAAAACCUUAGUUAAAAUCUCAGAAUAUUUUAGGUUGCACGGGACCUCCAGAGGUCAUCUGGUCCGAAACGGGUAGAAAGAGGGUAAAACUUAGUUUAAUGAGCUCUAGUACUUCACACCCUGUUUCAGAUCUUGUACUUCAAAAAUUUUUCCUGUUAAUAUGACAAAGAAGGGUUUCCUGCACAAAAAGUAGAUCGAAACCAUUUUGCAGUGACCAAAGAAGCAGACAGAACAGCAAAAUGAGUAAAACCUGAUUUCCUGUGGAUUUGUUCCCCAGCGUGGGAAGAUCUGCAAGUUGUCAUUACUUUUGCUGUACUUCAGGCAUUUGCUAUCUGUCAAAGGUGGUUAAGUUAGCCAGUGGAUUGCACAGAGAGCAGAGCAGCAUCACAUCCUUCUACCCAUCUCCCAGUCAGUAGGAGGAUGAAAACACAAGGGAGGAACUGGACGCGCCAGCAUGUUAGCAUCAAGCAAAAGGCCUUCUUGCUGAUCCUACCUAGUGAACGUGCAAAAAUCUAAAAAAAGGUUGAUGCCUUAUCCCAGUUCAUGAGGGAUUGCAGACAUUGCCCACAUGAAAUCAAAAUUAAGCGUAGAUAAAUAACGUUUUAUGUUCUCAAGCAGGUGAAAAAACUUUUUCUCUCUCUUCCGGCUUUUCCACGUUGAGCUUCUCUCCACCUGGUGUCCUGCUCCUCUGUGAAGAAAUGCCAAAUACUGCAGUUUCUUAAAACGUAGUUUAACUGUUCAGAGGGAAAACUCAGAUUUAGAGCCUGUGCAAAGAAUAAACUGUAAAUUCUGGCAUGACCUGAAGCUUUC
rnacentral:lncRNA from 1 species